GCGGGAACUGCCAUUGGCAGCUGGCUCUCCCCUCAGACGGUGCCGGUCCCACAGCCGCUGCGCUUCGGAGCUGUCCGGGCAGCACCGAGACGGAACCGCGGCACGACGGGAGCGGUGCUGAGGACAGCGGCGCCGGAGCCGGGAGGGAUGGAGAGCGGCACCGGGACAGGGAAGGAAGCGUGCGCAGCCAUCCGCCACUUUCGUGUGGGAACAUCGAGGCAUGUGAGUGGCUGAGAAAUGGAGUUGGGACUCGGGAGCAAUGGAGCAAUGGGUGCCUGUGUCACAACCUUCCUCAGCGGCCCUUGCAAGCUCCAGCUCCCCUUGCCUGCAAGUGGAGCAAUGCUCAAGUUUGAGGAAUCUUUUCCUCGGCAGGCGGUAAAAGACGAUGCAGCUGCAAGUUUCGUGUCCUUCGUUGUUAUUGGAAAGCAGCUUCCUUGAGAGCAGGAGAGCAGCGGGCUGCCUGCUGUGUGGUGCUGAAGGGCAUUUCUCCCAGCUGAGAUCCCUGAGCCCAUGCUGGUGGGGAACGUGCUGCACCGUGGUCUCUUCUGUGGAGCCGCUUUGCAGCUGCUCUGUGCGCUGGCUGUAAUCGUGCCAGUUUCCAGGUGCCAUAAGGCAGACUGGCACAGUCUUGGGACUCCGUCUGGCGAGACAGUGAAGAAAGCCAAGGCAAGUGCUGCUCUGCUGAGGAAGGAAGCCCAGAAGGAGAGCAAAAAGAAGCAAGAAGGGCUUGAGCGAGA